AUGUUUCCUUUUUUUUGCACAGACCAACUACAGGCAGUAGAAGCAUGUCCACACUGUUCAUUGCUAUGCAACAAAUCACAAAGGUCAGCAGACUCUGACCCUGAAAAGCAGCUGUGUUAUAGCAGUCACUGGAAAACACCAGUCCUUGCACAUAAAAUUGCUUCAAGCAAGAACAUCUUUCCCAGAAAGACUGAGAUCUGCAUGCUGGAUCAUGUUUUUCUUCGGAACAGCAGGAGGUAAGUAAAGCCCUUUAUACGGAAAAGUUUCUAUACAUACAUCCAUACACACAAAUAUGCCCAGGCAUAAUAUGGGGGCAUUUUAAUAGCACCAAGAGCAUCUCCAGGUGCAACAAACGUUAGUCAGAGCCUUAUCUCUCUGCUGCCCCUUGCCCCAGCUCUGGAGAUAACCACUCUUGGAGCACUCUGGAGACAACCACUCCUGGAGCUGUGAACUGCUCCCUGAGCUGCCUCCCCAGCUCUGGAUUUGAGCAGCAAAUUGAACAAUGCAGCAUAGUCUCCCAUGCUGUGCUCCUACCUCCUCUGGCUGGUGUGCCCAGGACAAGCCUCUCUCUUGUGCUGUCCUUCCUCCUUCCUCAGGUAUUUCCAGGCUGCUACUGGAUCAGAAUUAUUUAUCGCUGAGAGGGCCCUUGUCUAAGGUUAAGUCACUACUGCAGAGUUCCAGGUCAUUGGCAUUUCCCACUCCACUGCCAUGGGCUCUCUAAUACCAGGCAACACUACAGCUUGAUUUUUCACCUCUGUGUAACUAAAUUGAGACAUUUAAACCCAUGUUUAGAUGCCUGAGUAAGAAGACAGGUGUCUAGAGCUGGAAUGCUCCCUCACACCACCAUGAAGUUUGCCACUCUUCACAACUCUCUGUGCUCCAAGGGAGGGGUUCCCAAUCCUUCUUUUCCUUUGCAAAAGCUGAAAGAUAGUUCAUGGUCUGGCUGCUUGAAAUUAGGACACUAAAGACACACUACAGCUGGGGAAGAUGAAGAACUGGCCCAGAGUUGGGAUAUUGACCAUCCACUUCCUAUCUUGCUGAAUGGGGGCCAGUGAGUUAGACCACAGCGUUAAUGGUUCCUAAAUGUUACCAAAAUGUAUUUUCUCCUCACUUCCUGCUGGAUGGGGACUGAUACCACAGAGUU
rnacentral:lncRNA from 1 species